AUCCUUUGCCAGUAUUGUCUCUGCCCCCCACCCCCGCGCCCCAAUAACUGGCAUUAUUUACCAGGUUGUUGGUGUCCAGGUGGACAUGUUUGCUCAGGUCUUCAGAUCAAGUCUAGGCCCUGGCCAAUCCCGCCCCCUCCCCCCGACUAGCAUGCUCCACCCCAGUUCCGGGCACAGCUGAGACCUGACCACCGGGCAAAGGUUGGCCCACGCUCAUCAGGAAACCAGCCACUGAGCCGCCUCCUGGACUUGAAGCCCUCCCAGCUUCAGCUGCGCCUGCUGGAGGGGAGAAUCUCAAUGGCCCCCGAGUGCAUGGCCACGUUUAUUACACCAGGGGAGAAAGCCCUAUUGCCCAGAGCGCAGCAGCAGCAGCAAGUGUUACGAAGGGAAACCGGCAAGGAUGAGGCGUGACAGGCAGUUGUUGCCCUUACUGCGCUUCCCUGGCUCGUCUGGUGUCAUCAUCUGGCCUUUUUCCCGUCAAGGAUCCCAGUUGGAAGAGAUUGUGGAAUGGAAGGCAGGCAGAACCCGAUCGACUACACCAAACAGCGUGGCCACCGAGCUUCCGAAGGCCUUCACCGCUCCUCCAGCGGGCAUAUUCCACGGUGGGGGGCUACAUUCCACUCGGGUGCAGUUGCCACCGUUAGAAACCCCCCCAGGAGCCACCUACCCGUUUGUUCUAGCUUUUGCCCUCUGGGGCGAUCCAGCGUCUGACCCUCCACAGUUAAAUCUCUGGGUGGCUUUGAA